rnacentral:rRNA from 1 species
UACGUAGGGCGCAAGCGUUGUCCGGAAUUAUUGGGCGUAAAGAGCUCGUAGGCGGCUUGUCACGUCGGGGGUGAAAGCCCGGGGCUUAACCCCGGGUCUGCAUUCGAUACGGGCAGGCUAGAGUGUGGUAGGGGAGAUCGGAAUUCCUGGUGUAGCGGUGAAAUGCGCAGAUAUCAGGAGGAACACCGGUGGCGAAGGCGGAUCUCUGGGCCAUUACUGACGCUGAGGAGCGAAAGCGUGGGGAGCGAACAGG